rnacentral:lncRNA from 1 species
AGAAGAUAGUAUAACACGUUAACUGACUAAAAUGAUUCAACAAUUAGUAGUGGGAAUGAAUGGACGGUGAUACUUAUCCCCUAUGUACUGGGUCGAUUUCCACGGAAGGCAAAAACUCGUUAUUUCCAUGAGGGAGAAGGGGGCAAGAAGGUCGUGAUUAACAGAGCCGUUAACGGUAAAGGUUAAGUUUUCUAUUUCCACGAGGUAAAAAGGGGGUGAAAAUGUCGUGAUUAAUAGAGCCGGGAACGGUAAGAGUUAAGAUGUUACACAUACAAAACAACACUUCUUAUUGCCUUCUUUUGACUUGGACCUUGCACCAGACUUGUUCUUGGAGUCAUUCUUUUCUAACCUUCCUCUAACAUUC